rnacentral:lncRNA from 1 species
GAAGCAGAAAAACGGUUAUGUGAUAGUGAAAUUACAAAAGAUGAAAUUUUCAAAGCAAUUAAAUUAAUGAAAAGGGAUAAAUCACCAGGGGAAGAUGGCAUAACUGCAGAAUUUUAUCAGGAAUAUUGGUUUUUGAUACAGGAUGAGCUUACGCAAAUAUUAAAAGAAACCUUUUUUGAUAAAACACUUUCCGAAUCGCAGAGACUUGGAAUGAUAAGCUUAUUAUAUAAAAGUGGGGAGAGGGAGGAUAUUAAAAACUGGCGACC